rnacentral:lncRNA from 1 species
AGCAAGAGAAAAUUGGCUGCAGUGCAAAGAAGCCAGGCUCAAAAGGCAGGGUUAUCCCAUUUCUAUGACAUGUCACAGGUAGGCUGUGUAACACUGUGAAUGUAUGAAGUGCCAUUGAAUUGUUCACUGUAAAAUUCCAAGAAAACCUGCAGACUCCUGCCUUUCUGUGAAGAGUUCGUGUCCACUGUCAUCGUGGGGUGAGCUGUGAUUCUGCCUUCUGCUCUGGCCUCAGUCCCCAAGCACCCAGCACUGUGAGCAUGAGGCAUAGGAGGGGACCACGGUGUAAAUCGAUCUCUGGUCACGGAAGAGUGAAGGAUUUAAAGGACCAUGGCCUAGCCUGGGCAACAUGGCAAAACCCUGCCUCUACAAUAAAAUAUAAAAAAG